rnacentral:rRNA from 1 species
GAGUACGGUCGCAAGGCUGAAACUUAAAGGAAUUGGCGGGGGAGCACCGCAACCUGAGGAUUGUGCGGUUUAAUUGGAUUCAACGCCGGAAAACUCACCAUAGCCGACGGACAAAUGAAGAUCAGUGUAAUGAGCUUAUCGGAUUGUUCGAGAGGUAGUGCAUGGCCGCCGUCAGUUCGUACCGCAAGGCGUUCUGUUAAGUCAGAUAACGAACGAGACCCUCAUCCCUAUUUGCUAAGAUCUCUCCGGAGGUCACAGGACUAUAGGGAGACCGCUGGCGCGAAGUCAGAGGAAGGCGAGGGCAACGGUAGGUCAGUAUGCUCCGAAUGCUAUGGGCUACACGCGCAAUACAAAGGACAGGACAAUGGGCUGCUGCUCCGAAAGGAAUGAUAGCUAUCCCGAAACCUGUUCGUAGUUCGGAUUGAGGGCUGUAACUCGCCCUCAUGAAGCUGGAUUAGGUAGUAAUCGCGUCUCAAAAAGGCGCGGUGAAUAUGCCCCUGCUCCUUGCACACACCGCCCGUCAAACCAUCUUAGUUGUGGGUGGGUGAGGCUACCUCUCUGUGGGGUAUUCGAGCCUGCCUUCGACGAGGAGGGUUAAGUCGUAACAAGGUAUCUGUAGGGGAACCUGCAGAUG